rnacentral:rRNA from 1 species
GAUGAACGCUGGCGGUGUGCCUAAUACAUGCAAGUCGAACGAGCUCUUCGGAGCGAGUGGCGGACGGGUGAGUAACACGUUGGUACCUACCCCGAAGUGGGGAAUAACUGCCCGAAAGGGUGGCUAAUACCGCAUAAUACCGCAAGGUUAAAGCAGUAAUGCGCUUCGGGAGGGCCUGCGUCCCAUUAGCUUGUUGGUAGUGUAAUGGACUACCAAGGCAACGAUGGGCAGCUGGAUCGAGAGGUUGACCAGCCACACUGGGACUGAGAUACGGCCCAGACUCCUACGGGAGGCAGCAGUGGGGAAUAUUGGACAAUGGGCGCAAGCCUGAUCCAGCAAUGCCGCGUGAGUGAGGAAGGCCUUAGGGUUGUAAAGCUCUUUCGGCGGGACGAUGAAUGACGGUACCCGCAGAAGAAGCCCCGGCUAACUUCGUGCCAGCAGCCG